rnacentral:rRNA from 1 species
GACAGAGGUGCCAAGCGUUAGGCGGAAUCACUGGGCUUAAAGCGUGUGUAGGCGGGCGGGCAAGUACCUUGUGAAAUCCCACGGCUCAACCGUGGAACGGCUGGGUAUACUGCCUGUCUUGAGCCAGCUAGGGGCGACCGGAACAGACGGUGGAGCGGUGAAAUGCGUAGAUAUCGUCUGGAACGCCAAAGGUGAAAACAGGUCGCUGGGGCUGAGCUGACGCUGAGACACGAAAGCCAGGGGAGCGAACGGGG